CACGUAGGGCGCAAGCGUUGUCCGGAAUUAUUGGGCGUAAAGAGCUCGUAGGCGGACUGUCACGUCUGUUGUGAAAAGCUGGGGCUUAACCCUGGCCUUGCAGUGGAUACGGGCAGACUAGAGGUAGGUAGGGGAGAAUGGAAUUCCCGGUGUAGCGGUGAAAUGCGCAGAUAUCGGGAGGAACACCGGUGGCGAAGGCAGGUCUCUGGGCCGAUACUGACGCUGAGGAGCGAAAGCGUGGGGAGCAAACAGG
rnacentral:rRNA from 1 species